rnacentral:rRNA from 1 species
AACGUAGGACGCAAGCGUUAUCCGGAGUUACUGGGCGUAAAGCGCGGGCAGGCGGCUCGAAACGUCUGAUGUGAAAUCUCCUCGCUCAACGGGGAGAGGCCAUUGGAAACGGUCGGGCUGGAGGGCAGUAGAGGCAGGCGGAAUUCCGGGUGUAGUGGUGGAAUGCGUAGAGAUCCGGAGGAACACCAGCGGCGAAGGCGGCAUCCUGGACUGGUCCUGACACUCAUGAGCGAAAGCGUGGGGAGCGAGUCCGG